GCCAUUGGAAGCGCGAAGGUACUACCGCUUGGCGUUGCGCGCACCUACGGAAUUUGUACGGUUGGUGAUAAAGACUUUAUAAAGCUGAGCGGCAUCGCGGGGCGCAACUACACUAUUGAGGCGCUCAACCCGGCUGCCGCAUUGGAUUUGGUGAUCCAAAUCUAUGAUGCGAGCGGAACCUUAGUCUUUGAGCCGGUUGAUGAUGGAGCAGAAGGUGCACCCGAAGCGGCAUCGGUGCCUUUUGAUGUAAACGAAACGCUCUACAUCGCAUUCUCGGC
rnacentral:misc_RNA from 1 species